rnacentral:lncRNA from 1 species
AUGGAAAGGGAAAGUCUUCCCAGCCACCAAUCAAGCCACUACAGAGCAGGGCGUGGCGCGGCGCGGGAGCUGCGGGUAGGGAGCCGGGAUUCCCAGCCUGGCCUCCUAAUGGGGAAAAUUUGGAAACGUCGUGGCGAGCUCAGAGCAGGAGGCAGAGGCCCUCGAGCUAUAGCAACAGAAAGAAGGAAGGCCCCUCCACAACCUGUACAGAAGUUCUGGUUCUUUCUGGAAUAUGCACUAACUCUCACCAUUCCUAAUGGCUCCAGCCACUCUGGAUGGCUCAGUUCAGGAGAAAAUAAAUUAUGUUACAGCAUAAAGUUUGAGUUGGGGGAAGAGUUCAAAAUCACAUCUUAACUGAUAAGUUGUCCAUCCAGAAAUGCAGAAGUAUUUAUUGUGUGUCAGCGAUAAAGCCAGUACAAUGCUAAGCAAAACAAGUCUUCAGAAAAGUUCAGGGUAGAGGGGGGAAUAAUUAGAAAUAACUAGAAAAAAGUAAGACCAAAAACAGAAGGACUGAAUAGAAGGAUUCACCAAAAGCACAACAGAGUUUGAAAGAAGGCAGAGCUACGGGAAAAAAAUGGCGUAUUCAUUCAAUCGUUCCUUCAAAACAUAUUAUUGAUGACAUUGACUAAUAAGCUACACACUCUGCCAGGUGUGUGAAUGCCUUCGAAUGGGCUCUGUCUUACUAACAUGUACAUAAAUAAACCUAUAAUUGCACAUUGGUCUAUGUGUGAUGAACAGGAGCAGGGCACAGUAACAGAGACCAAGGAGGGAGAAGGGGGCUGGAAAGGGAGGGCAUCUCCAAGAUGGUGCAGGAGAAGGGAGAGCGUCCCAGCUGGGCAAACAGCAUGUGCAAAGAUUCUGAAGCAGAGAAGAGCUCAGUGAGAGGGAAGAGCUUAAAGGAGACAAAGGGAGGAGAGAGCCUGCAGGGAUGGGCCCUGGAAGAGUUCCACGGGAAUGUUACCAGUCUCCUCUACCCAGUGUCUGCGAACGGUCCCUUUCCAGUCAACCUUUAUGAGGUAAGGUGUAUACAAGAGGAAUUUCAGAUUAAGUGAGAGAGAUAAGGAACAUCAGAAAAUGAACAACUUGGGAUAAACAAUAACAAGAGGACCAAAUGGAAGCAACCUGAAAGCCAUCUCUCUAGAGGCUUCCAAUGAGUCCUACUGACAAUGAGGAAAAACCCCAGAUCCUCAGCACCAAUGGGGCAGUGGUUCUGAAACUUUACCUGCAUCAUAGUCACCUGAACAGUUUGUUAAAACAGAGAGCAGUCAGGGGUGUACCCCCCUCCAAGAUAUUCUGAUUCAGGGGGUCAGGGUGGGGCCCAGAAUUGCAUUUUUAACAAGUUCCCGGAUAGGCUGAUGCAACUGGUCCAUGGGCUACACUUUGAGAACCUCUGGUACAAGUCAUUUGGGGACCUACAUUUCCAUGUACUCCAAAUCCCAGCCUAAAUGAAGGAACAGAUCUCUUGCUUAUUGUAGAAGAAUGAUCAGAACCCAGUGUUCUGUCUUGAACCAGCAUGCACAGACUGAUGUCUCUUCUGUGUCUGGUGAUUUCGUGCAUGAUCUCAUUUUAUCGGUACCCAACGCUCUGCACAGCAGGUGCUAUCAUCCAUGUUUUACACAUGAGAUAAAGAGACAAGGUAAGAUUAGGCGAAUUUCCAGAGAUCACGCAAUACACAAGUGACAGACUCGGGAUUUGAGCCUGUGUUCAGAGCGGAGCUGUGUUGCUUCCCAAGCAGGCAGCUCUUCCUCUCCUUCCUCCCGGAGAGAUGCCUGUCCGUCCUCCAGGCCUCACCGCACCACUAGAAAGCACCAUGUGGCCUGCCCCUACUACCAUUAGUGAUGAAUCUAGGUGGUCUCCGUUGACUCCUGGGGGCUGCUAGCGUUUUGACCUUGUUACUAAGUUCUUUGCUUUCCGUAUAGGAAGGAGCAAGAUCUAUGAACUAGACACGUGACAGACCAGAGGUCGUUUUCCAUCUGUGGCACUCAGUACGGAGUUGUAAGUAUUCUAAAACACAAGCUGAGCAGUCAGAUGGGCCUGGGACCAACCUCCCCUCUGUCACUUAUUGGUUACAUGACUGGUUAUGUGACCUGACUUUAUUAAAGUUCAGUUUUUCUUCUUUUAAUAAUUAGUAAUUACAAGUAGCAUCCACCUUAAGGUGUUGUGAGAAAUGCAUGAGUCAGUUUCAUGUAAAGUAUGAAGCUCUUCGCGUGGUGCUUAGCAAGCAACAAACACUCUGUAAUUAUUAGCUAUUAUUACUACCCUGUUAUGCAUUUUCUUUCAAAAUAUGGUCAUUGUAAGAGGAGAUUUAAUUGUUGCUGUGCUAGAUACACGGUUUCUUUUUGUUUACAUUUCUCGAGUGUGGGACUAUUUCAUUGGUAGAUCCAGGAAAUAUGAGCGACUGCAUCGUGAUUUGAGCUCCUCCUCUCCCCAAUUAAGAAAAAACAUCCCCAUAUACCCUUAUAGACAAAACAGAGGGAAAACGGAUUUGAUAUUUUGGGUAAAUUUAAAAUAUUAAGAAACCAUUGCCAAUGAGUAUGGAUUGGUGGAGUGACAGUAACUUGGACGGGAGUCUGAGAUCAAGGGGUCUGAUGAUCCCACUAUGCCCAGUAUUGGUCAAGCUGUGUGUGAGGCCACGUGCUCAGUUCUUGAAGGCAGGUUAAAGGGAAAUCUUCCUCCCCUAGAGAGCACUCUGCAGGUGUGAAGCAGGAUGGAAUGGAGAAAGCAGAACGUGUUAAGAAAGGUCCAUUUGUGUGGACAAGAUUAAGAUAGAAUUCGAUAGCUAUCUUCAAAUAUUUUGGUAGCUUUCAGAAAGAAAGGAAGAACAGACUCAUUCUCUAUUUGCCAUACAACACUCUAGAGCAUUGUUUUUUAAAUGGUAGUUGGCAACCCAUUAGUAGAAAUCAAUGCAACAGGCUAAGGAGCAUUUUAAAUAAGUAAAAGAGAACAUAAUGGAAAAUACCAGAUGCAGCCAAUCUAAUAAGGAUAAUUACUAUCCCAUAUACCUUCUGUCUUAGUUAUAUUUAUGUUAAAAUUUGUAUGCAUAUGUCUCAAUGUAAAAUGUAUCCUGAUGUUGGGUCACAGAAGAAAAAAUGUUGAAAGCUCUAGAAGACAAAACACAGACCACUGGGUGCAAGAAACAGGAAGUCGAGUUUUCAUUGCCUUGCUACAAAGAAACUGUUAUAAUAAUGGUCCCUGCUUAGCAACACCAGGCUUACUCAGGCGGGAGGAACCCGCCCAACAUAUACAUCACCCCUCCUGUGAUGCUCUAGCACAGGCUGAGUGCUGACGCCCAACAGGAGGAGGGCACUGAGUGUCCACCCCUAGGAGGACACGGAGAUGUUCUGACUCCCCAAAAGAGAAAAGAUCAGACCUGAGAGUCUGGUUAUAAGAGAGAAUAGAGAAAAUUAAAGCCUAAAUAUCCAGACUCCAGAAGCCAUGUGGCCUAUGCAGGAAGAGUUGCUCUGAGUUGAUAGGUUACACACAGGGAGCAUGGGUCAAAUCCCUGAUGUUGUUUAGGAUUCCUACUCUUGGACGGAUUAGUUUCCCACCUCCUUUUCUAAUUGAGGUGAUAAA